AGCCUUCUGACUCGGUGCCGAUAUUUAGUCAAAUACCAACCCGUCAGGACUGAUGAGACUCCAAAGAUGAGUAAAGGA
rnacentral:pre_miRNA from 1 species